rnacentral:rRNA from 1 species
AGUGAACGCUGGCGGUAGGCCUAACACAUGCAAGUCGAACGGCAGCACAGUAAGAGCUUGCUCUUACGGGUGGCGAGUGGCGGACGGGUGAGGAAUACAUCGGAAUCUACUUUUUCGUGGGGGAUAACGUAGGGAAACUUACGCUAAUACCGCAUACGACCUACGGGUGAAAGCAGGGGAUCUUCGGACCUUGCGCGAUUGAAUGAGCCGAUGUCGGAUUAGCUAGUUGGCGGGGUAAAGGCCCACCAAGGCGACGAUCCGUAGCUAGUCUGAGAGGAUGAUCAGCCACACUGGAACUGAGACACGGUCCAGACUCCGACGGGAGGCAGCAGUGGGGAAUAUUGGACAAUGGGCGCAAGCCUGAUCCAGCCAUACCGCGUGGGUGAAGAAGGCCUUCGGGUUGUAAAGCCCUUUUGUUGGGAAAGAAAAGCAGCAGGUUAAUACCCCGCUGUUCUGACGGUACCCAAAGAAUAAGCACCGGCUAACUUCGUG